rnacentral:rRNA from 1 species
UACGUAGGGUGCGAGCGUUGUCCGGAAUUACUGGGCGUAAAGAGCUCGUAGGCGGUUUGUCGCGUCGUCCGUGAAAACUUGGGGCUCAACCCCAAGCUUGCGGGCGAUACGGGCAGACUUGAGUACUGCAGGGGGAGACUGGAAUUCCUGGUGUAGCGGUGAAAUGCGCAGAUAUCAGGAGGAACACCGGUGGCGAAGGCGGGUCUCUGGGCCGAAACUGACGCUGAGGAGCGAAAGCGUGGGGAGCAAACAGG